CGACGUUUCUGAUGCCGGUCCUCCGUCCUCCUGCAGCUGCCGCGGUCGGUGUUGCUGUUGGAGUAGGCGUCACAGCCGUGUCCUCGAUCGUGGUGCCUGGAAAGAACAUUGAAAAUCAAGAAUAAUUGAGAAAACGGAAGGCCUGUAAACACAUAGGAAUGCGGCAUUUUGUUGGGAUUAACUGUAUUGCUAUUGAAAGUAGCAUCUGCAUCUGCACCCCGGUGCAACGUGGUGCAUUGUCAUCGAACGCACCCCUGAAAAACCGCGAACAAUAGGGUCUCGGGACACGACGCCUAACGACACGACCAUCAGGUCGACAACCGUCGUUAGACGGGGUUCGGUAAAAAAAAAUAUUGAAACUAUCGGACAGCACAAGGUUGGAAGACGCGAUUUGUAGCCUGAAACUUUCCGAUUUUUCGGCAUCAUUAACAGCUGCUUACCGGCUUGCGGAGUGGUAGGGACGAUCACACUGGGCCUACUGUGGUGCACACGUGCCGCCGAC